GAUCAUGGCUCAGGAUGAACGCUGGCGGCGUGCCUAAUACAUGCAAGUCGAACGAGGUAGCAAUACCGAGUGGCGAACGGGUGAGUAACACGUAGGUAACCUGCCCUUAAGCUUGGGAUACCCAGAGGAAACUUGGCUAAUACCGGAUAACAACAGAGAAGGCAUCUUCUUUGCUUGAAAGGCCCCUUCAAGGGUCACUUAAGGAUGGACCUGCGGCGCAUUAGCUAGUUGGUGAGAUAACAGCCCACCAAGGCGAGGAUGCGUAGCCGAACUGAGAGGUUGAUCGGCCACAUUGGAACUGAGACACGGUCCAAACUCCUACGGGAGGCAGCAGUAAGGAGUUUUCGGCAAUGGGGGAAACCCUGACCGAGCAACGCCGCGUGAGCGAUGACGGCCCUAUUGGGUUGUAAAGCUCUGUUGUAAGCCAUGAAUGACAGCUUGAGGAAAUGCAAGUUGUUUGACGACAGCUUACCAGAAAGCCACGGCUAACUACGUGCCAGCCGCCGC
rnacentral:rRNA from 1 species